rnacentral:rRNA from 1 species
GUGUCAGCAGCCGCGGUAAUACAGAGGGCUCGAGCGUUAAUCGGAAUCACUGGGCUUAAAGCGUGCGUAGGCGGAUCUUCAGGCUUGUUGUGAAAUCCCACGGCUCAACCGUGGAAUUGCGAUGAGAACCGGAGAUCUUGAGUCAGGUAGAGGCGGGUGGAACGAUAGGUGGAGCGGUGAAAUGCGUAGAUAUCUAUCGGAACGCCAAAGGAGAAGUCAGCCCGCUGGGCCUGUUCUGACGCUGAGGCACGAAAGCGUGGGUAGCAAACGGGAUUAGAUACCCCGGUAGUCCACGCCGUAAACGAUGCGCACUAGACUGAGGGAGCUUGACGCUUUCUCAGUCGUAGCAAAAGUGCUAAGUGCGCCGCCUGGGGAGUACGGUCGCAAGAUUAAAACUUAAAGGAAUUGACGGGG